AUGAACGCUAGCGGCAGGCUUAACACAUGCAAGUCGAGGGGUAGAGUCAGCUUGCUGACUUGAGACCGGCGCACGGGUGCGUAACGCGUAUGCAAUCUGCCUUUUACAAAGGGAUAGCCCAGAGAAAUUUGGAUUAAUACCUUAUAGCAUUAUAGGAUGGCAUCAUCUUAUGAUUAAAGAUUUAUCGGUAAAAGAUGAGCAUGCGUCCCAUUAGCUAGUUGGUAAGGUAACGGCUUACCAAGGCUAUGAUGGGUAGGGGUCCUGAGAGGGAGAUCCCCCACACUGGUACUGAGACACGGACCAGACUCCUACGGGAGGCAGCAGUGAGGAAUAUUGGACAAUGGGCGCAAGCCUGAUCCAGCCAUGCCGCGUGCAGGAUGAAGCAUCUAUGGUGUGUAAACUGCUUUUAUACGGGAAGAAACCCUGGGACGUGUCCCAGACUGACGGUACCGUAGGAAUAAGGAUCGGCUAACUCCGU
rnacentral:rRNA from 1 species